AACGAACGCUGGCGGCAGGCUAAACACAUGCAAGUCGAGCGCCCCGCAAGGGGAGCGGCAGACGGGUGAGUAACGCGUGGGAACCUACCCAUCUCUACGGAAUAACGCAGGGAAACGUGUGCUAAUACCGGAUACGCCCUUCGGGGGAAAGAUUUAUCGGAGAUGGAUGAGCCCGCGUUGGAUUAGCUAGUUGGUGGGGUAAAGGCGUACCAAGGCGACGAUCAAUAGCUGGUCUGAGAGGAUGAUCAGCCACACUGGGACUGAGACACGGCCCAGACUCCUACGGGAGGCAGCAGUGGGGAAUAUUGGACAAUGGGCGCAAGCCUGAUCCAGCCAUGCCGCGUGAGUGAUGAAGGCCUUAGGGUUGUAAAGCUCUUUCACCGGUGAAGAUAAUGACGGUAACCGGAGAAGAAGCCCCGGCUAACUUCGUGCCAGCAGCCGCAGUAACAC
rnacentral:rRNA from 1 species